CCUUGGUUAAAGGCAGAAUGUCGCAUUGCAGGGCGCCGUGUCGGUGGAUGCGUACCUCCCGAACGCCCGCUGGUACGAUUAUCACACAGGUGAAUACGUCGGAUUCCGGGGUGAAUUCCGAACGCUGCCCUCGCCUUUGGAGCACAUCAACCUCCACGUCCGCGGGGGUUUCAUCCUCCCCCAGCAGAGCCCCGCCAACAACACGGCCUACAGCCGAAAGAAUCCAUUGGCUCUUCUGGUGGCUCUGAAUGACAGCCAAGAGGCGGAGGGGCAGCUCUACUGGGAUGACGGCGUGAGAAUCGAUGCCUACGAGGACGGCGCCUAUCUGCUGACCUCCUUCAUUGCUCGUCAGGUUGGGG